GCAGCGAUUAUUUAGUGGUAGAAUUCUCGCCUUCCAUCCAAGAGAUCCAGGUUCAAUUCCUGGGCAGUGCA
rnacentral:tRNA from 1 species